rnacentral:rRNA from 1 species
AAUUCGAUUAGUUUGAUCAUGGCUCAGAACGAACGCUGGCGGCAGGCCUAACACAUGCAAGUCGAACGCCGUAGCAAUACGGAGUGGCAGACGGGUGAGUAACGCGUGGGAACAUACCCCUCGGUUCGGAAUAACUCAGGGAAACUUGAGCUAAUACCGGAUACGUCCGAGGUUUUAAUCGACCUCGGAGAAAGAUUUAUCGCCGGAGGAUUGGCCCGCGUCUGAUUAGCUUGUUGGUGAGGUAAUGGUUCACCAAGGCGACGAUCAGUAGCUGGUCUGAGAGGAUGAUCAGCCACAUUGGGACUGAGACACGGCCCAAACUCCUACGGGAGGCAGCAGUGGGGAAUAUUGGACAAUGGGCGAAAGCCUGAUCCAGCCAUGCCGCGUGAGUGAUGAAGGCCUUAGGGUUGUAAAGCUCUUUUACCCGGGAAGAUAAUGACGGUACCGGGAGAAUAAGCCCCGGCUAACUUCGUGCCAGCAGCCGCGGUAAUACGAAGGGGGCUAGCGUUGUUCGGAAUUACUGGGCGUAAAGCGCACGUAGGCGGAUCUUUAAGUCAGGGGUGAAAUCCCGAGGCUCAACCUCGGAACUGCCUUUGAUACUGGGGAUAUCGAGUCCGGGAGAGGUGAGUGGAACUGCGAGUGUAGAGGUGAAAUUCGUAGAUAUUCGCAAGAACACCAGUGGCGAAGGCGGCUCACUGGCCCGGUACUGACGCUGAGGUGCGAAAGCGUGGGGAGCAAACAGGAUUAGAC